UACGAAGGGUGCAAGCGUUAAUCGGAAUUACUGGGCGUAAAGCGCGCGUAGGUGGCUUGAUAAGUUGGAUGUGAAAUCCCCGGGCUCAACCUGGGAACUGCAUCCAAAACUGUCUGGCUAGAGUGCGGUAGAGGGUAGUGGAAUUUCCAGUGUAGCGGUGAAAUGCGUAGAUAUUGGAAGGAACACCAGUGGCGAAGGCGACUACCUGGACUGACACUGACACUGAGGUGCGAAAGCGUGGGGAGCAAAC
rnacentral:rRNA from 2 species